rnacentral:rRNA from 1 species
CGAAGGUAGCAUAAUCAGUAGUCUUUUAAUUGAAGGCUGGUAUGAAUGGUUGGACGAGAUAUUAGCUGUUUCAAAAAAAAUUAAAAUAUAAUUUUAUUUUUUAGUCAAAAAGCUGAAAUUUAUUUAAAAGACGAGAAGACCCUAUAAAUCUUUAUAUAAUUAUUUGUUAUAAUUUUAUAGAUUUUUUUUAUUAUAAUAUUUAAUUGUAUUUUAUUGGGGUGAUAUUAAAAUUUAACAAACUUUUAAUUAAAAAAUUUCAUUAAUUUAUGAAUAAUUGAUCCAUUAAUAAUGAUUAAAAAAUUAAGUUACUUUAGGGAUAACAGCGUAAUUUUUUUGGAGAGUUCAUAUCGAUAAAAAAGAUUGCGACCUCGAUGUUGGAUUAA